rnacentral:rRNA from 1 species
AUUGUCGAGAGGGAAGCGGAUGGAGGCCGGCGGUAGGCCCAGGUUGGAUGUGGAACGGCGAUUAGCCGGUCUGCCGAUAGACUGUGGGCAUGGAUCAACGAGAAUUUGGGUGGCGGUUGAAGCUUGGGCAGUUGAUACGCCCAGGGGAUGCCGGCUCUUAGAUUGUGGGAUGCAGAACACGUUCGGCGUGCUUCGGCACCUGUGUUCUCCGGUCGUUGACUUGUGGGCUCUCCAAUCGACCCGUCUUGAAACACGGACCAAGGAGUCUUACAUGUGUGCGAGUCUGCAGGCCAAAAAACUCGUGGGCCGUAAGGAAGCUGAUUGGCGGGAUCCCUCGCGGGGGUGCACCGUCGACUGACCUUGAUCUUUUGAGAAGGGUUCAAGUGUGAGCAUACCUGUUGGGACCCGAAAGAUGGUGAACUAUGCCUGAGCGGGGUGAAGCCAGAGGAAACUUUGGUGGAGGCCCGUAGCGAUACUGACGUGCAAAUCGUUCGUCUGACUUGGGUAUAGGGGCGAAAGAC